rnacentral:rRNA from 1 species
UCGACUGUUUAUCAAAAACAUAUUUAAUAGAAAUCAUUAUUAAUAACAUCUGCUCAAUGAAUAUUUAAAUAGCCGCAGCUUAAACUGUGCUAAGGUAGCAUAAUCAUUCGUCUUUUAAUUAAAGACUAGUAUGAAAGAUUUUACAUUCAAAUUAUUAUUUAAAUUUCAAAUUCUUAAUUUAUUUUAAAUGUAAAAAAACAUUUAUUUAAAAGAAAGACGACAAGACCCUAUCGAACUUCACUUAAGUUUAACUGGGGCAGUUAACCAAUAAUCAUUUUAAUCAAUUUUAAAUAAAAAUGACCCAAUAAAAUUGAUAAUUUGAUCAAGUUACCGUAGGGAUAACAGCAUAAUUAUUUUCUAUAGAUCUUAUAUAAAAAUUAAUUUAUGACCUCGAUGUUGAAUUAAAUAUUCUAUUAAAUGCAAUAAUAUAAAAAGAAAGUCUGUUCGACUUUUAAAUAUUUACAUGAUUUGAGUUCAGACCGGUGUAAGCCAGGUCGGUUUCUAUCUU